GCCCACUGUGACGCUGGUGAACAAGUCUUUGAAGACGAAGGUUGUUUCCGUGAAGGCUUCUGUUCGAGCUGCUGAAGCUCUGGCGAAGAAGUCACCGAACAGGAAGUCUGCAGAGGUGGUGACUGCGUCUAGGAGGACCUCGCCAAGGUCCAAGAGCUGAUGGAUAGGUUCUUGCUCUAUGUGCAAUUCUAUUUUUCAUGUAUUGGGUC
rnacentral:lncRNA from 1 species